rnacentral:rRNA from 1 species
ACACGACUACAUUAGACUACCCCCGUAGUCCCAGCCGUAAACUAUGCGCGUUAGGUGUAUCGGUGACCACGAGUCACCGAGGUGCCGAAGGGAACCGUGAAACGUGCCGCCUGGGAAGUACGGCCGCAAGGCUGAAACUUAAAGGAAUUGGCGGGGGAGCACAACAACGGGUGGAGCCUGCGGUUUAAUUGGACUCAACGCCGGACAACUCACCGGGGACGACAGCAAUAUGUAGGCCAGGCUGAAGACCUUGCCUGAAUCGCUG